AAAAUACUCCCUCCGUCCCAAAAUUCUUGUCUUAGAUUUGUCUAAAUACGGAUGUAUCAAGUCACAUUUUAGUAUUAGAUACAUCCGUAUCUAGACAAAUCUAAGACAAGAAUUUUGGGAUGGAGGGAGUACAUG
rnacentral:pre_miRNA from 1 species